ACGCACGCUGGCGACAUGCCUAACACAUGCAAGUCGAACGAGACCUUCGGGUCUAGUGGCGCACGGGUGCGUAACGCGUGGGAACCUGCCCUUAGGUUCGGAAUAACUCCCCGAAAGGGGUGCUAAUACCGGAUAAUGUCUUCGGACCAAAGAUUUAUCGCCUUUGGAUGGGCCCGCGUUGGAUUAGCUAGUUGGUAGGGUAAAAGCCUACCAAGGCGACGAUCCAUAGCUGGUCUGAGAGGAUGAUCAGCCACACUGGGACUGAGACACGGCCCAGACUCCUACGGGAGGCAGCAGUGGGGAAUAUUGGACAAUGGGCGAAAGCCUGAUCCAGCAAUGCCGCGUGAGUGAUGAAGGCCUUAGGGUUGUAAAGCUCUUUUACCCGGGAUGAUAAUGACAGUACCGGGAGAAUAAGCUCCGGCUAACUCCGUG
rnacentral:rRNA from 1 species